rnacentral:rRNA from 1 species
GACAGAGGGUGCAAACGUUGCUCGGAAUCACUGGGCGUAAAGGGCGUGUAGGCGGGAAGUAAAGUCAGAUGUGAAAUCCCUGGGCUCAGCCCAGGAACUGCAUUUGAAACUCACUUUCUUGAGUACCGGAGAGGAAGGUGGAAUACCUGGUGUAGAGGUGAAAUUCGUAGAUAUCAGGUGGAACACCAGUGGCGAAGGCGGCCUUCUGGACGGUAACUGACGCUGAGACGCGAAAGCGUGGGGAGCAAACAGG